GAUGAACGCUGGCGGCGUGCCUAAUACAUGCAAGUCGAGCGAACGGACGAGAAGCUUGCCUCUCUGAUGUUAGCGGCGGACGGGUGAGUAACACGUGGAUAACCUACCUAUAAGACUGGGAUAACUUCGGGAAACCGGAGCUAAUACCGGAUAAUAUUUUGAACCGCAUGGUUCAAAAGUGAAAGACGGUCUUGCUGUCACUUAUAGAUGGAUCCGCGCUGCAUUAGCUAGUUGGUAAGGUAACGGCUUACCAAGGCAACGAUGCAUAGCCGACCUGAGAGGGUGAUCGGCCACACUGGAACUGAGACACGGCCCAGACUCCUACGGGAGGCAGCAGUAGGGAAUCUUCCGCAAUGGGCGAAAGCCUGACGGAGCAACGCCGCGUGAGUGAUGAAGGUCUUCGGAUCGUAAAACUCUGUUAUUAGGGAAGAACAUAUGUGUAAGUAACUGUGCACAUCUUGACGGUACCUAAUCAGAAAGCCACGGCUAACUACGUG
rnacentral:rRNA from 1 species